rnacentral:lncRNA from 1 species
GAAAUUUGGAGCUUUAAACCUAACCAUUGCCUGCUGUUCUAAGUGGAAAGGGGAGUAGCUGCUGGCUGACCCUUGUCUUAAAAAAAAAAGAUAAAUGAGGGAAGCUUUGUAUAGCAAAGAGGGAAGCUUGGACUUUUGGUAUGGAGGAGGGGAAAGAGAGGAGAACUCCCUUCUCAAAGUGGAGUUCAGGGGAGACAGCAAAUGUAAGAAUUUGGCUCAGAGAGAGGAGAAGGGGUUUGAAGAUUUUCCCCCUUCUGCCUUCCCUCCUUAGCUAAAGCUGUUCUCCCCAAUUUGCUCUUGUCCCUCUUGAUCCCCAUCCACUACUCGAGACCAAAACAUCUCCCCUUGAUCCGUUCACUCACACUCAGCUUGGGGAACAGAUACCUUUUAAUGUUAACUCAUUAAGGUUAUACAAAAGGAAUAAUGGGCAGGGAAGAAUGGGAAAAGGAAUGUGGGAAAAGGGGGUCCCUGUCUCUAAACCCUUUCCCCUCCCUCCUUGGGUUUGGGGGGGUGGGAACUCAGGUAUUGGCAGCCUGAUCCCCCUGAGAGAAAGUCAGGUUGACUCACCCCUGGGCAACAGGAGCUGAGGUAAAGUCUGCUCAGGUUUCUCUUCAGAAGUCUCUUCAAUUGGGAAGUGUUGGGGGGAAAGAUUUACAGUCACCAGCAGGAAAGGUGGGUAACCCUCAGGAGAAAGUCUUUAUCUACCUCUCCCGACUGAGAGCCUCACUGCUCUCUCCUGUAGCCAGAGUCUUCUCUCCUCAGGAUUCCCCUCUUGGGGCCCCUCCCCCAUCAAGGUGAUCAAUUUCACAUACUCUUCAGUAACACCCUCUAUCCAAUUCUUCUUUAGGGAAUAGGUAAAGUAAGAGUACAACUGAGUUAGAUAACAUGGGUGAAGUUCUCACUCCAUCCUACUCUCACCCCCUCCACAGGAAAACCUGAAGUGAGAAAGUCUUCAAAGUAAAUUUUACCCACAACCCCAUUCUUUCACUCAGAUGGUUAUUAGUUCUGAAUUAUAUGAGCAAUUCUUAAAGGAAGUGUUCAAACAUACAGACUCCAGCUUGGGACCUUGUCCUGGCUCCAACCUCUGCUGCUCUAGGUCCAUCCUUCAAGUCACAAUCUUUGGUCCAAUUCUUGCUUUUCCACAUCACAUUUGCUUGGCUUUGUCUACUCUCCAACUCCUCUUAAGAUAAGGAAACUGAGGAAGACAUUCAACCAGAAAAUAUGUGAGAUCGAGUUGAAGCUCAGACCCUUUUGACUCCAGUUGCAGCAUUCUAUCCUCUGGGCCUUCUAGCUGCUUUUGAAUAGUCAU